CCUACGGGAGACAGCAGUGAGGAAUAUUGGUCAAUGGACGGAAGUCUGAACCAGCCAUGCCGCGUGCAGGAAGACGGCUCUAUGAGUUGUAAACUGCUUUUGUACAAGGAUAAACCUUAAUACGUGUAUUCAGCUGAAAGUACUGUACGAAUAAGGAUCGGCUAACUCCGUGCCAGCAGCCGCGGUAAUACGGAGGAUCCAAGCGUUAUCCGGAUUUAUUGGGUUUAAAGGGUGCGUAGGCGGAUUGAUAAGUUAGAGGUGAAAUGGCGGGGCUCAACCCGGGCCGGUCGUUGAAACUGGGGAUCUUGAGUGGGCGAGAAGUAUGCGGAAUGCGCGGUGUAGCGGUGAAAUGCAUAGAUAUCACGCAGAACUCCGAUUGCGAAGGCAGCAUACCGGCGCCCGACUGACGCUGAGGCACGAAAGCGUGGGGAUCGAACAGGAUUAGAUACCCUUGUAGUC
rnacentral:rRNA from 1 species